rnacentral:rRNA from 1 species
UGGACCUCAGAUCAGGCAAGAUCACCCGCUGAAUUUAAGCAUAUCACUAAGCGGAGGAAAAGAAACUAACGAGGAU